rnacentral:lncRNA from 1 species
GGACGGAAUCCCAUUAGAUAUUGGAGCAAUACCAACGCUUCGGCUUAUUGAAUUGAAAUCGUGCAAUGAGUCUACAAUUAUGUCGGCUUUCAAAAUAGCGGAGGAACAAGAGGAUGCUGGCAAUGAGUUACUUCAAGUUCGAGUUGAGUUCCUUUCAGAGUACCUAUUAGAGCGCUUUCAGGAGAAGAUGAAACAAACAGCAAAUCACAACUUCA